rnacentral:rRNA from 1 species
AUGUGUCCUUCUUGGAUUUUCCGCGGAACAUAAAGGUUACCGCUGUCUUGAUUUACACACUGGACGGGUACACAUAUCUCGCCACGUUACAUUCGCCGAACAUAUUUUUCCUUUUUCUCAACGCACCGAUACACCAUCCACGCGCACAGUGCAAGCGCAAGAUCACCCUGAUUCCGUUCGUUUCCUGAUCUACUUCGAGGUUGCAAGCGGCCCAUUCGGCUCCGACAGGCGGUCCGCAGGGCGGGGCUGAUGUUCACCCUGCUCGGAUUCCUUGUGUUCCCCUUGGUGUGGGGCGUCCCGGAGUCGCUCGUCACCACGGAGCUCGCAGCCGGGUUCCCGGGAAAUGGCGGUUUCAUCCUGUGGGCUGACAACGCCUUCGGCCCGCUGGCAGGAUCGCUCCUCGGCACGUGGAAGUACCUCAGCAUCGUCAUCAACAUCGCCGCAUACCCGGCUCUCGUUGCCCACUACGUCGGUGGCGUGGUGCGCGCAGUCGCGAGACCCAUGAGGGCGCGCUCAGCCGCGGUUACCGGCAUGACGCUGCUCCUCUCCCUGAUUAACUUCGCCGGCCUGAGCGUCGUCGGGUGGGGUGCCACGGCGCUGGGAAUAGCCUCGCUGGUCCCGUUCGUGCUGAUGACGGCCAUGGCGGUGCCCAAGGUGCGGCCGGGGCGGUGGGUGACUCGGGUGGAGGUGAGGAUGAAAGACUGGAGGCUGUUCUUCAACACACUGUUCUGGAACCUCAACUACCGGGACAGCGCGAGCACCAUUGCCGGCGAGGUGGAGCGGCCGGGGCACUUGCCGCAGCGGUCGUUCUGAUUGCCGUCAGUUACCUGCUGCCGCUCAUGGCCGCGACCGGCGCCACGGACGCCUCGCCGGAUGCAUGGGUGAACGGCUACUUGGCUGAUGUCGUGGGCAUCAUCGGGGGUCCAUGGCUCGAGUACUGAACAAGGGCAGGCGCGGUAAUCUCCUCCAUUGGCAUGUUUGAGGCCCAUAUGAGCAGUGGCGUGUUCCAGCUCCAUGGAAUGGCAGACCUACGCCUCCUCCCGUCCGUCUUCUCCGGCCGCGCCACUUGCACCGGAACCCCAUGGGUUGCCAUCACUACGUCAACGGCUGUCACUAUCACUGUCUCGUUUCUCAGUUUCGACGACAUCGUUGCCACAGAUAACUUCCUCUAUAGCCUGGGCACGCUGCUUGAGUUCUCCUCCUUCCUCUGGCUCCGGGCCAAGUACCCAACACUAAAGCGCCCCUACCAAGUGCCUCUGCCGCUGCCCGUGCCAUCGGUGUUCCUAGCCUAUGUGUGUGGUAGCUGGGUGGAGAGUAUUCGCAAUUGCAGCAGGGCUGACCACACUUGGGAUCGGGGGGCAUGCCCUCAUGAGGGUGUGCAGAGCCAAUAAGUUGCUCAGCUUUAACGUGCCUGAAUAAUAAGGUUGA